rnacentral:rRNA from 1 species
UGGAUUAGGCAUGCAAGUCGAACGAGGAAGUGCCCCGUAAGGGGCGCAAGCCUAGUGGCGAAAGGGUGAGUAAUGCAUUGAUAACCUGCCUUUGAGAUGGGAAUAACUGCGUUUCGAGCAAUCGGAACUACCGAAAGGGCUGCUAAUACCCAAUAAUACUAUAGGUGCAAAAGCACUUGUGGUCAAAUGCUAGGAAUUCUGUUCCUUGUGCUUAAAGAGGGGUUAAUGUCCUAUCAGCUAGUUGGUGGGGUAAUGGCCUACCAAGGCAAAGACGGGUAGCCGGCUUGAGAGGGUGGUCGGCCACACUGGGACUGAGACACUGCCCAGACUCCUACGGGAGGCUGCAGUCGAGAAUCUUUCGCAAUGCCCGAAAGGGUGACGAAGCGACGCCGCGUGUGGGAAGAAGGCCUUCGGGUUGUAAACCACUGUCGGGAGUUAGGAAAUGCAGGUGCGUUAAUAGCGCACUUGCUUGACUAAGGCUCCAGAGGAAGCCACGGCUAACUCUGUGCCAGCAGCCGCGGUAAUACAGAGGCGGCAAGCGUUGUUCGGAAUUAUUGGGCGUAAAGAGCACGUAGGCGGCCUUGCAAGUCAGUUGUGAAAGCCUUCCGCUUAACGGAAGAACGGCAUCUGAUACUACAGGGCUUGAGUACGGGAGGGGAGAGUGGAACUUCUGGUGGAGCGGUGAAAUGCGUAGAUAUCAGAAGGAACGCCGGCGGCGAAAGCGACUCUCUGGUCCGAAACUGACGCUGAGUGUGCGAAAGCUAGGGGAGCAAACGGGAUUAGAUACCCCGGUAGUCCUAGCCGUAAACGAUGGGCACUAAGUAGAGGGGUUUU